GCUAGUGUGGCAUAGUGGUUUGAGCAUUGGGCUGUGACUCUGGAGAGCAGGGUUUGAAUCCCAGCUUAGCC